AGGUUGGGUAGAAGUAAUUCUUAAAUCUUAAGAAGCAAUCAUAGAUAUGUGGAAGCCAAUAGUCAUUACUAGGGAUCAUGAUUCGGAAAAACAGCCUCUCUUCAAUGAUCCUGAAUGAGCCCUUUGAAUUCCUCUCCUGCAACUGAUCUCCCCAUGGGGAGUGGUGAGGGAUGGGUGACAGGAAGGGACCCUAACCCAAAGUAGUUCAGAGCGGGUGAGUUUUAGGAGCAUUUCGGUACCAAACACAGCUUCACGAUUGAGAAUCAUCAGUCAUCCCCAGCUUUCUAUUUCAUUUGCUAACCUCUCUAGGAACAACUGGAUGUUGUAAAUGUUUCUCAUCUGGCCUUAAAAUCCAUGAAAGCUGGAAAAUCACAAGGCAUCUGUGCACAUACUGGUGGAUUUUAAUGAGAGUCCUGUGUUUGGAGCACCAGAAAUAAACCAGCUUCAGAAGCAAAGAUCUGAACGUCUAUGACACUCUUUCGAGCUGACACAGUGAAGAACAUGGAAGGAGAACUCACCCAGUCUGCCAGGGUCACAGAUGAUCACACUCAAGAUCUUCCUGGGGAGUCAAUGGCAAAUUUCACUGGGCUAUUUUACAGAUGAAGAAGGAACAUAAAGAAGGUUCUGGGACCCUGAAGUCCACGGAACACCCACCAUUACCUGAUCUUUGGAGCUUGUCAUUUGGCCAGUGGACCCUAAUAAACACGUCCAGGGGGAGGUGGGGAUAGAAUGCCAGAGCCUGGCUCGCUAGGGCAUCCAGGUUCUUCCUCUUUGCCCUGCUGUCUCCAGGCACCAAGAAUCUCCUACAGUUCCCCAAAGAUGAACCCCCCAUUGUCUCGGGUCACUCUGUUUCCCCCGAUCUUUACCAAAUUCCUGACUCAAGAGUUCCUCCCAUUUGCUUCUGACUCUCAUUUUAUUCUUAUGAUGUUUACCAUUUCUGUUCUCCUCAGUGUCCCUCUCUGAGUGGUAAGAGUAUGUUAAUAAGCCAGUGCUGAGACCAGAGCACAAGGCAACUGCUCAGUGUUGGUCAUUGUCACUGUUAUUAAAUGUAACUUAAGGGAAUGAGUGGUUUCUUCUUUUUUUUUACUUGAUUCAAUACUGCCCAAUGCUCUUGAGGUCGAGAAUAUAAGGUAAACUUUACAGAAAUUUUCAGAUAUAACAUCAAGGAUAUUGAAGACACUUAAAUAGUUUGUGGCUCUGGCAUAACAUCAUCAUCGAAAUGGGAAAGCCAGGAGCAGCCAGGAAUUCUGUCAAACGCACAGCUUUGGCACUGUUUAUUAGCCAGUCUGCCC
rnacentral:lncRNA from 1 species